UUGACCUCAAAUCGGGUGAGAAUACCCGCUGAACUUAA
rnacentral:rRNA from 1 species